CCAAUAGUAAAAACCGUGUAUAAGAGGAUGCUUGGUGUUCCAAGAAUGACCUACCUCUUCAAGAAACCAUCACUAUCCGGUUUCCUCUCUCUGUUCUGAUGAAGAUGGUGGUGCCAGGAAGAGGAUUGCGACUAUAUUACGAGUAUCAUCUCUUUCACAAAACCUCACCAGAACCCUAUUUUUCUUUCUCAUCGAGGUUUAUACUCUGAUAAAGUAUUCACCAUUUGAUUUACUUCAUUGUUAUGUUCUUCUGAAUGAUUCAAAUUUAAGAUACGUGUUAAUUUUUGUUUUGUUUAGUGUAACCUAAUUUGAACGAUUUGUAGAUGUCUCGUAUAAAUGUCGCUUGAAGUUUUUGUUGAUAUUACAAUCGCCCCAUGACUCUAUUUUUGUGUUCUGCAAUCGCUGCAUCUUUUUGUUAGAUGAUUCUGAGAAGAUUUUGUUGAUAUUGGUACGGGUCAUUUCAUUGAGGGCGGUGGUGGUGCUAUCAGAUGGUCAUGCCAACUCUUAAGGGUGGUCAUUAUUCAACCGAUCCAUCAACAAUUAUUAUUAUGGAUGCUCUGUUUCCAUAUAGCCACUAUAGGGUGAUAUACCGUUUGGUACGAUCAGGGAAGGACGGAAUGCAGCCUUGAUGACAUUUUAGUUGCUUGAAAAGCUAAAAAAGGAAUUACGUUUUCUUUCUUUGUUAAGAGGAGUACAUCAUUAAAUUGAAGGUAUGAAAUCUGGAUUUCAGAUUUUUUGCAGCUCUAUUAAUAGUGUGCAGACUAAAUUUCUAUUGUAAAGGGGGUAAAUUGUCCAGAAAUUUAAGACGCCUUAGCAACUAGAACCGUUCAUUUGCAUAUUCAGAGAAGAGAGAGAAGCAGAGAAGAUAAAGAGAGCAACGGGGGUUAGAGAGUGAACAAGCGAUUGGAGAGAGAACGGGAAAGAGACAGAGAGAGAGAGAGAGACAAUGGAGAAGGGGAGACCAGGCACGGCCUCCGGCCAUCCACCUUAAAAGUAGUAUAUAAUAAUUUUUAUAUACUUUCAGACUCCAAGUCGUAAAUUCCUCAUUCGUGUUUUAUAUUUGGAAAUUUAUAACGGGCCAUGGGAUACUUAUGAAUCGAACUUGUCAAGCAAUCUCAAUAAGCACCAUGUACCAAAGAACUUCGUGGAGAAGCUUGCUUUCAGGACAGUGAAGCUACUGAGAAUUCCAACUGAUUUAUUUUUCAAGUAUGACAGAGCAUUCAAUUCAGAUGGAUAAAUUUACCUCGAUUCGGUAGAUUGCAAGAUAGGCGCCAUAGUCGGCGGUGGCAACGACAUCUUGUGGAAUAGAAGUUGGGGCUUGUGGCUGAGCAUAAGUGCUUCCAUAAGCAUUGUAUGUGCCAUAAGCAACCUAAAAAGUAUAUCAAAAGGCUAUUCCUUCCAUGCUUUUGGCGUUAGUUCUCUGCUUUGACCACAGAAAAGUCAAAGAGGCUACAAACCCGCUGGAUAUAUCUCCACAAAAAGGGUAUAAAUACAUAUGGUAUGAUACGUGUGGAUAUGCUGUUGGAUUGGUAGCUGCAUUAGCAGCUGGAAUUCUUACUCAUUCUCCGCAGCCAUCACUUCUAUAUCUGGUGCCAUUGACACUUGGACCGAUAGUUGUGAUCUCCUGGGCACGAAAGGAGUUAUGGGAAGGAUCGACACCGAAUCUUACAGAGAAAACACAUUUGACAGAAGUUUAAGCCAUGGAACAUGUAAAUGGACUUUGGAUAAGUUAAGAAU
rnacentral:lncRNA from 1 species